GCUUCUAGAGAGAAGGCAGGAGAGAAGUCUGCAAGGACCUCAGGCAUCAUCUAGCUGGGUGCAGCCCAGUCCAGAUGUGAAUUUGCACGAUGAGUGAUAAAGAGGAGUCUGGAGGCAAAAGGGCUAUGGGGAGCCCUAAGAAAACUGAUCUGGAGGCAUCUUCGAAGACAAAGGACGGCGUGAGCAGGAAAAUAAAAAGCGACUCUGAGCAGAAGCAGCCGAAAGCAAAGGCUGGGAGCAGGGAGCAGGAAGAAACUCAGCAAAGCAAUCAGCCCCCGGGGCCAAAAGAAAAAAAGAAUUCGAAG